rnacentral:rRNA from 1 species
GAUGAACGCUGGCGGCGUGCCUAACACAUGCAAGUCGAACGAAGCAAUUAAAUGAAGAUUUUCAGAUAGGAAUUUGAUUGACUGAGUGGCGGACGGGUGAGUAACGCGUGGAUAACCUGCCUCACACUGGGGGAUAACAGUUAGAAAUGACUGCUAAUACCACAUAAGCGCACAGUACCACAUGGUACUGUGUGAAAAACUCAUGUGGUAUGAGAUGGAUCCGCGUCUGAUUAGCCACCUGGCGGACUAACGGCCCACCAAAGCAACGAUCAAUAACCCACCUGAGAAGGUGACCGGCCACAUUGGGACUGAGACACGGCCCAAACUCCUACAGGAGACAACGGUGGAAAAUAUUGCACAAUGAGGCAAAGCCUGAUGCAACGACGCCCCGUGAGUGAAGAAGUAUUUCCGUAUGAAAAGCUCUAUCAGCAAGGAACAAAAUGACGGUACCUGACUAAGAAACCCCGGCUAACUACAUGCCAGCAGCCGCGGUAAUACGUAUAGGGGCAAGCGUUAUCCGGAUUUACUGGUUGUAAAGGGAGCGUAUACGGCGAAGCAUGUCUGAAAUGAAAACCCAAUGCUCAACCCUGGGACUGCUUUGGAAACUGUUAUGCUAGAAUGACAGAGAGGUAAAUGGAAUCCCUAUUGUACCGGUGAAAUGCAUAUAUAUUAAGAGGAACACCAGUGGCAAAGGCGACUUACUGCACGAUAACUGACAUUGACGCUCGAAAGCGAGAGGAGCAAACACGAUUAGAUACCCUGACAGUCCACGCCGAAAACCAUGAAUGCUAGGUGUUGGGGGGGCAAAGCCAUUCGGUGCCGUCGCAACAUGCAGUAAGCAUUCCACCUGGGGAGUGCGUUGGCAAGAAUGAAACUCAAAGGAAUUGACGGGGACCCGCACAAGCGGUGGAGCAUGUGAUUUAAUUCGAAGCAACGAGAAGAACCUUACCAAGUCUUGACAUCUUUUUGAGGCGGGGAGUAACGGCGCAUUGCCUUCGGGGCAAGAGAGACAGGUGGCGCAUGGUUGUCGUCAGCUUGUGUAGUGAGAUGUUGGGGUAAGUCGCGCAACGAGCGCAACCCUUAUCCUUAGUAGUCCAGCAGGUAGAGGUGGGCACUCUAGAGAGAGUGCCAGGGAUAACCUGGAGGAAGGUGGGGAGGAGGUCAAAUCUUCAUGCCCCUUAUGAUUUGGGGUACACACGUGUUACAAUGGGGUAAGCAAAGGGAAGCAAGACAGUGAGGGGGAGCAAAUCCCAAAAAUAACGUCUCAGUUUGGACUGUAGUGUGCAACCCGAGUACACGAAGCUUGAAUCGCUAGUAAUCUCGAAUCAGAAAGUCGCGGUGAAUACGUUCCCGGGUGUUGUACACACCGCCCGUCACACCAUGGGAGUCAGCAAUGCCCGAAGUCAGUGACCUAACUCGCAAGAGAGGGAGCUCCCGAAGGCAGGAC